GACGUAGGGGGCAAGCGUUAUCCGGAUUUACUGGGUGUAAAGGGAGCGUAGACGGCAUGGCAAGUCUGAAGUGAAAGCCCGCGGCUCAACCGCGGGACUGCUUUGGAAACUGCUAGGCUAGAGUGCAGGAGGGGCAAGUGGAAUUCCUAGUGUAGCGGUGAAAUGCGUAGAUAUUAGGAGGAACACCGGUGGCGAAGGCGGCCUGCUGGACUGUAACUGACGUUGAGGCUCGAAAGCGUGGGGAGCAAACAGG
rnacentral:rRNA from 1 species